GAAGCAAUCGGAAGUGGUUCCAAGAAAAGCCUCUAAGCUUCAGUCAUACGAGACCGUACCGCAAACCGACACAGGUGGGCGAGAUGAGUAUUCUAAGGCGCUUGAGAGAACUCGGGAGAAGGAACUCGGCAAAUUGGUACCGUAACUUCGGGAAAAGGUACGCCCCGGUAGCUUGAUUGGUUUACUCCAUGAGGGUGAAAGGGUUGCAAUAAACUGGUGGCUGCGACUGUUUAAUAAAAACACAGCACUCUGCAAACACGAAAGUGGACGUAUAGGGUGUGACGCCUGCCCGGUGCUGGAAGAUUAAAUGAUGGGGUGCAAGCUCUUGAUUGAAGUCCCAGUAAACGGCGGCCGUAACUAUAACGGUCCUAAGGUAGCGAAAUUCCUUGUCGGGUAAGUUCCGACCUGCACGAAUGGCGUAACGAUGGCCACACUGUCUCCUCCCGAGACUCAGCGAAGUUGAAAUGUUUGUGAUGAUGCAAUCUACCCGCGGCUAGACGGAAAGACCCCAUGAACCUUUACUGUAGCUUUGCAUUGGACUUUGAACCAAUCUGUGUAGGAUAGGUGGGAGGCUUUGAAGCGGGGACGCUAGUUCUCGUGGAGCCAACCUUGAAAUACCACCCUGGUUUGUUUGAGGUUCUAACCUUGGUCCGUUAUCCGGAUCGGGGACAGUGCAUGGUAGGCAGUUUGACUGGGGCGGUCUCCUCCUAAAGUGUAACGGAGGAGUUCGAAGGUACGCUAGAUACGGUCGGACAUCGUGUUGAUAGUGCAAUGGCAUAAGCGUGCUUAACUGCGAGACUGACAAGUCGAGCAGGUACGAAAGUAGGACAUAGUGAUCCGGUGGUUCUGUAUGGAAGGGCCAUCGCUCAACGGAUAAAAGGUACUCUGGGGAUAACAGGCUGAUUCCUCCCAAGAGUUCAUAUCGACGGGGGAGUUUGGCACCUCGAUGUCGGCUCAUCACAUCCUGGGGCUGUAGCCGGUCCCAAGGGUAUGGCUGUUCGCCAUUUAAAGUGGUACGUGAGCUGGGUUUAAAACGUCGUGAGACAGUUUGGUCCCUAUCUGCCGUGGGCGUUGGAAAUUUGAAGGGGGCUGCUCCUAGUACGAGAGGACCGGAGUGGACGAACCUCUGGUGUACCGGUUGUCACGCCAGUGGCAUUGCCGGGUAGCUAAGUUCGGAAGAGAUAACCGCUGAAAGCAUCUAAGCGGGAAACUUGCCUUGAGAUGAGAUUUCCCAGAGCCUUGAGCUCUUUGAAGGGUCGUUCGAGACCAGGACGUUGAUAGGCUGGGUGUGGAAGUGCAGUAAUGCAUUAAGCUAACCAGUACUAAUUGCCCGUACGGCUUGUCCC
rnacentral:rRNA from 1 species